GCCGGGUGUGGUGGCGGGCUCCUGUAGUCCCAGCUACUCUGGAGGCUAAGGCAGGAGGAUCGCUGGAGCCCAGGAGUUGUGAGCUGUAGUGCUCUAUGCCAACUGGGUGUCUGCACUAAGUUCGGCAUCAAUAUGGUGACCUCCCGGGAGCGGGAGACCAAGUUGCCUAAGGAGGGGUGAACUGGCCUAGGUUGGAAAAAGAGUAGGUCAAAACUCCUGUGAAAUUAUCAGGAAUUGGGGCUUUUGUGGGGGUAAUUACGUUUAGAUGAGGUCAUGAGGAUGGAGCCCCCAU
rnacentral:SRP_RNA from 1 species